rnacentral:rRNA from 1 species
UGGGGAAUAUUGGACAAUGGGCGCAAGCCUGAUCCAGCCAUGCCGCGUGAGUGAAGAAGGCCUUAGGGUUGUAAAGCUCUUUCAGUCGUGACGAUGAUGACGGUAGCGACAGAAGAAGCCCCGGCUAACUCCGUGCCAGCAGCCGCGGUAAUACGGAGGGGGCAAGCGUUGUUCGGAUUUACUGGGCGUAAAGGGCGCGUAGGCGGGGUAUCCAGUUAGGGGUGAAAGCCCCGGGCUCAACCUGGGAGGUGCACUUGAUACGGGCGGACUGGAAUCCGGGAGAGGAUGGUGGAAUUCCCAGUGUAGAGGUGAAAUUCGUAGAUAUUGGGAAGAACACCGAUGGCGAAGGCAGCCAUCUGGCCCGGGAUUGACGCUGAGGCGCGAAAGCGUGGGGAGCAAACAGGAUUAGAUACCCCUGUAGUCC